rnacentral:rRNA from 1 species
CAGCCGCCGCGGUAAGACAGAGGGUGCAAGCGUUAUCCGGAAUGAUUGGGCGUAAAGCGUCUGUAGGUGGCUUUUCAAGUCCGCCGUCAAAUCCCAGGGCUCAACCCUGGUCAGGCGGUGGAAACUACCGAGCUGGAGUACGGUAGGGGCAGAGGGAAUUUCCAGUGGAGCGGUGAAAUGCGUUGAGAUCGAAAAGAACACCAACAGCGAAAGCACUCUGCUGGGACGACACUGACACUAAGAGACGAAAGCUAGGGGAGCAAAUGGGAUUAGAUACCCCUGUAGUCCCUGUCUCUUAUAC